rnacentral:rRNA from 1 species
GCUAGUAAUGGCAGGUCAGCAUACUGCCGUGAAUACGUUCCCGGGCCUUGUACACACCGCCCGUCACACCAUGAGAGUUGGGAAUACCCGAAGCCUGUGAGCUAACCGUAAGGGGGCAGCAGUCGAAGGUAGAAUCAAUGAUUGGGGUGAAGUCGUAACAAGGUAGC